rnacentral:rRNA from 1 species
UGGAUGAACGCUAGCUACAGGCUUAACACAUGCAAGUCGAGGUGCAGCAUCAUCAAAGCUUGCUUUGAUGGAUGGCGACCGGCGCACGGGUGAGUAACACGUAUCCAACCUGCCGACAACACUGGGAUAGCCUUUCGAAAGAAAGAUUAAUACCGGAUGGCAUAGUUUUCCCGCAUGGGAUAAUUAUUAAAGAAUUUCGGUUGUCGAUGGGGAUGCGUUCCAUUAGGCAGUUGGCGGGGUAACGGCCCACCAAACCUACGAUGGAUAGGGGUUCUGAGAGGAAGGUCCCCCACAUUGGAACUGAGACACGGUCCAAACUCCUACGGGAGGCAGCAGUGAGGAAUAUUGGUCAAUGGACGAGAGUCUGAACCAGCCAAGUAGCGUGAAGGAUGACUGCCCUAUGGGUUGUAAACUUCUUUUAUACGGGAAUAAAGUGAGCCACGUGUGGCUUUUUGUAUGUACCGUAUGAAUAAGGAUCGGCUAACUCCGUGCCAGCAGCCGCGGUAAUACGGAGGAUUCGAGCGUUAUCCGGAUUUAUUGGGUUUAAAGGGAGCGUAGGCGGGUUGUUAAGUCAGUUGUGAAAGUUUGCGGCUCAACCGUAAAAUUGCAGUUGAUACUGGCGACCUUGAGUGCAACAGAGGUAGGCGGAAUUCGUGGUGUAGCGGUGAAAUGCUUAGAUAUCACGAAGAACUCCGAUUGCGAAGGCAGCUUACUGGAUUGUAACUGACGCUGAUGCUCGAAAGUGUGGGUAUCAAACAGGAUUAGAUACCCUGGUAGUCCACACAGUAAACGAUGAAUACUCGCUGUUGGCGAUAUACAGUCAGCGGCCAAGCGAAAGCAUUAAGUAUUCCACCUGGGGAGUACGCCGGCAACGGUGAAACUCAAAGGAAUUGACGGGGGCCCGCACAAGCGGAGGAACAUGUGGUUUAAUUCGAUGAUACGCGAGGAACCUUACCCGGGCUUAAAUUGCAACUGACGGAACCGGAAACGGUUCUUUCUUCGGACAGUUGUGAAGGUGCUGCAUGGUUGUCGUCAGCUCGUGCCGUGAGGUGUCGGCUUAAGUGCCAUAACGAGCGCAACCCUUACGGGUAGUUACCAUCAGGUUAUGCUGGGGACUCUACCCGGACUGCCGUCGUAAGAUGUGAGGAAGGUGGGGAUGACGUCAAAUCAGCACGGCCCUUACGUCCGGGGCUACACACGUGUUACAAUGGGGGGUACAGAAGGCAGCUACACGGCGACGUGGUGCUAAUCCCAAAAGCCUCUCUCAGUUCGGAUUGGAGUCUGCAACCCGACUCCAUGAAGCUGGAUUCGCUAGUAAUCGCGCAUCAGCCACGGCGCGGUGAAUACGUUCCCGGGCCUUGUACACACCGCCCGUCAAGCCAUGAAAGCCGGGGGUACCUGAAGUACGUAACCGCGAGGAGCGUCCUAGGGUAAAACU